ACCGAGUUUACAACUCCCAAACCCCUGUGAACAUACCACUUGUUGCCUCGGCGGAUCAGCCCGCUCCCGGUAAAACGGGACGGCCCGCCAGAGGACCCUAAACUCUGUUUCUAUAUGUAACUUCUGAGUAAAACCAUAAAUAAUCA
rnacentral:misc_RNA from 1 species